rnacentral:rRNA from 1 species
AUGUACCACCAACUCAUUAUGAAUACCCCAAACCCAUCAGAUCUCAGAAGCCAAGCGCAUGCGAGCCUGGUUUGGUACUUGGGUGGGAGAGUGACUGGGAAUACACCAGGUGUUGUAGCCU